AUUGAACGCUGGCGGCAGGCCUAACACAUGCAAGUCGAGCGGAUGGAUGGAGCUCUCUCCUGUAUUCCGCUGCGGACGGACGGGUAAGUCCUAGGAAGCUGACUUGCAGAGGGGGAUAACGUCCGUAAACGGGCGCUAAUACCGCAUACGUCCAUAUGUAGAAAGGGGUGGAUCUUUGGACCUCACGGUAUCUGCUGAGCCUAGUACGGAUUAGCGGGUCGGAUUAGCUAGUUGGUAAGGUAACGGCUUACCAAGGCAACGAUGCGUAGCCGAUCUGAGAGGGUGAUCAGCCACACUGGAACUGAGACACGGUCCAGACUCCUACGGGAGGCAGCAGUGGGGAAUAUUCGGCAAUGGGCGAAAGCCUGAUCCAGCCAUGCCGCGUGUGUGAAGAAGGUCUUCGGAUUGUAAAGCACUUUAAGUUGGGAGGAAGAGAAGUAAGUUAAUACAUUGCUGUUUUGACGUUACCAACAGAAUAAGCACCGGCUAACUUCGUG
rnacentral:rRNA from 1 species